UGGGGAAUUUUGGACAAUGGGCGCAAGCCUGAUCCAGCCAUGCCGCGUGUGUGAAGAAGGCCUUCGGGUUGUAAAGCACUUUUAUCAGGAGCGAAACUACUGUCGGCUAAUACCCGGCGGAACUGACGGUACCUGAGGAAUAAGCACCGGCUAACUUCGUGCCAGCAGCCGCGGGAAUACGAAGGGUGCAAGCGUUAAUCGGAAUUACUGGGCGUAAAGGGCGCGUAGGCGGCCUGUUAAGUCGAACGUGAAAUCCCCGGGCUCAACCCGGGAACUGCGUCCGAUACUGGCAGGCUUGAAUCCGGGAGAGGGAUGCGGAAUUCCAGGUGUAGCGGUGAAAUGCGUAGAUAUCUGGAGGAACACCGGUGGCGAAGGCGGCAUCCUGGACCGGCAUUGACGCUGAGGCGCGAAAGCCAGGGGAGCAAA
rnacentral:rRNA from 1 species